rnacentral:tRNA from 1 species
GUUUCUGUAGUGUAGUGGUUGAUCACGUUUCGCCUAACACGCGAAAGGGCUCCGGUUCAAUAACCGGACAGAAACA